UUCCCGAAGGUGAACCUGCGGAGGGAUCAUUACCGAGUUUACAACUCCCAAACCCCUGUGAACAUACCACUUGUUGCCUCGGCGGAUCAGCCCGCUCCCGGUAAAACGGGACGGCCCGCCAGAGGACCCCUAAACUCUGUUUCUAUAUGUAACUUCUGAGUAAAACCAUAAAUAAAUCAAAACUUUCAACAACGGAUCUCUUGGUUCUGGCAUCGAUGAAGAACGCAGCAAAAUGCGAUAAGUAAUGUGAAUUGCAGAAUUCAGUGAAUCAUCGAAUCUUUGAACGCACAUUGCGCCCGCCAGUAUUCUGGCGGGCAUGCCUGUUCGAGCGUCAUUUCAACCCUCAAGCACAGCUUGGUGUUGGGACUCGCGUUAAUUCGCGUUCCUCAAAUUGAUUGGCGGUCACGUCGAGCUUCCAUAGCGUAGUAGUAAAACCCUCGUUACUGGUAAUCGUCGCGGCCACGCCGUUAAACCCCAACUUCUGAAUGUUGACCUCGGAUCAGGUAGGAAUACCCGCUGAAUUA
rnacentral:rRNA from 1 species